UAUGCUUAACAUUCACUACCCAAUGUGCUCAAUCUCAGGGCCACACAUGAUGAUUUAUUUAGGCCCUUGGUCCUAACUACCCAGGAGACUGAGUUGCCAGAUCACCUGGAUUACAAGGUCAAGGCCAGGAUGGACAACAUAUCAAAACCCUGUCUCAAAAGAAAAUAUAAUCCCAUUUCUUCCUGAAAGUCUCCUGUGGCCCAAGCUGACCUCCGAGAAUCACAAUGAGAGGAAGAAUGUCCUUGAACUCCCAACUUGAAUUUGCCUCUAUUUCCUAGAUAAUUGAUUAGAAACUUUUACCACCAUGCCUGGCUAUGUAUAAGGCUUUUUAGAGAGGGUCUUACUCUAUAGCUCCAGCUUGCCUGAAAUUCCCUAUGUGGCCUAGGCUAGCCUUGAACUCACAAUUCUCCUACAUCAACCUUCUUCUGAGUGCUGGAUUAUAGGGACUUACUACCAGGCUGGGCUAAGGCAUAACUUUAUAAUAAAAAUAUUUAAAAACCAA